rnacentral:rRNA from 1 species
UGGGGAAUAUUGCACAAUGGGCGCAAGCCUGAUGCAGCCAUGCCGCGUGUGUGAAGAAGGCCUUCGGGUUGUAAAGCACUUUCAGCGAGGAGGAAGGGUGGUGUGUUAAUAGCACAUUGCAUUGACGUUACUCGCAGAAGAAGCACCGGCUAACUCCGUGCCAGCAGCCGCGGUAAUACGGAGGGUGCAAGCGUUAAUCGGAAUUACUGGGCGUAAAGCGUACGCAGGCGGUUUGUUAAGUCAGAUGUGAAAUCCCCGCGCUUAACGUGGGAACUGCAUUUGAAACUGGCAAGCUAGAGUCUUGUAGAGGGGGGUAGAAUUCCAGGUGUAGCGGUGAAAUGCGUAGAGAUCUGGAGGAAUACCGGUGGCGAAGGCGGCCCCCUGGACAAAGACUGACGCUCAGGUGCGAAAGCGUGGGGAGCAAACA